GGGCAAGUGGUGGAAUGGUAUACACGACAGACUUAAAAUCUGUUGGCCUUAACGGCCUUGAGGGUUCGAGUCCCUCCUUGCCCACCA
rnacentral:tRNA from 1 species